rnacentral:rRNA from 1 species
AACGAACGCUGGCGGCAGGCCUAACACAUGCAAGUCGAACGCCCCGCAAGGGGAGUGGCAGACGGGUGCGUAACACGUGGGAACAUACCCUUUGGUUCGGAAUAACUCAGGGAAACUUGAGCUAAUACCGGAUAAGUCCGCGAGGAGAAAGAUUCAUCGCCGAAGGAUUGGCCCGCGUCUGAUUAGCUAGUUGGUGAGGUAACGGCUCACCAAGGCGACGAUCAGUAGCUGGUCUGAGAGGAUGAUCAGCCACACUGGGACUGAGACACGGCCCAGACUCCUACGGGAGGCAGCAGUGGGGAAUAUUGGACAAUGGGCGAAAGCCUGAUCCAGCCAUGCCGCGUGAGUGAUGAAGGCCUUAGGGUUGUAAAGCUCUUUUACCCGGGAAGAUAAUGACGGUACCGGGAGAAUAAGCCCCGGCUAACUUCGUGCCAGCCGCCGCCGUAAAAC